rnacentral:lncRNA from 1 species
UGGGUCAGUCCUAUGCUGGUUUCCCAGCUAUCAGUCUGGGGUCCAGUAGCUCCCCUUUGUUCAGGUCAGCUUCUUCUGUGGGUUUCUCCAGCCUGGUCUUGACCCAUUUGCUCAUCACUCCUCCCCCUCUGCAACUGGAUUCCAGAGUUCAGCUCAGUGUUUAGCUGUGGGUGUCUGCUUCCCCUUCCAUCAGCUACUGGACAAAGGCUCUGGAAUGGCAUAUAAGGCAGAAGCAGGGAGUUCAUUGUGCUGGUAAGGAAGCACUUCAGGCCAAGAGAAGGAGGAGUUCCUCAGCACUGGAGCUAAUCAGUCAAGCUGCCUGAUACCCUGCAUUACAAACACAGUACCACUGGGAGAACUGAGGAGAGAAUGGAUACAGAUGACUGUUUAUUCUAAGGUGAUACCUAUAUUGAGUAAAAAGUACAGGAUCCCCUGACAGAGAGCAGGUUCAUCACUUGAGACCAAUUUUAAAAGGGAGUCACAGAUGAUGACUGAGGCCAGCUCAGAAUUGGAAGGGGAUGCAGGUGAUCAGAAGACUAUGGGUUGGUAUGAAAGAGGACAAGCCAUCACGUCAUAAUCCUGUCCCAGUCAUCUCAGAAGUGGAUAUCACAACUCUAAACAUAUAUGCACUGAACAAGGGCAAACCCAUGGCUGGAGAGAUGACUUGGUGAUCAAGAAGACCUAAAGAUUUGGUUAUCAGAACCCAUAUGGCAGCUCACAACCACCUUUACUCCAGUUUCAAGAGAUCCAACGACUCUUCUGACACCUCAGUUUCUUACACACCAAGCACUUAGGUACACACACAUAACUACAAGUAAAAUUAAAGUAGUUGUAAAUACAAAGUCACAGAUUAACUUCCACACAGUACUUGUGUGUGACUUCAAUAUCCUACUCUCACCAUUAAACUUAUCAUCCAGACCAAAAUCAACAGAGAAAUACUGGAAAUUACAUCAUCAUAUAUCAAGCAGACAUUUACAGAACAGUUCACACAAACACCACAAAAUAUACAUAUUUCUCAGGAUCCAGUAGAACUUCAGACAGAUCACAUACUGAAACACAAAACAAGUGUCACAACUACAGGAAAAUCCAAAUAACUACUUGUAUUUUAUCUGACCAUAAUGGAAUAAAGCUAGAAAUCAAUGGCAAGAGAAACUAUAGGAAAUAUGCAAACCCAUAGAGAUUAAAUUACACACUAUUGAACUAUUAAUGGGUCACUAAAGAAAAAGAAGAGGAAAACAAAAAUAUCAUAGAGUUAAACAAAAUGAAUACACCAAAAUCAAUAUGAUAAAGUAAAGGAAGUCUUAAGGCAGAAGUUUAUAGCUUUAAAUAGAGACAUUUAAUAAUUAAGGAGAUAUCAAACAGCUAAAAUAUACACCUUAAGACAUUGCCAAAAAGUAUUAAUUAGUUUGUAUGUGAGUUUGACAUAGGCCAGAGUCAUUUGGAAAAGAGAACCUCAAUUAAGAAAAUG